rnacentral:lncRNA from 1 species
CACUCUUAUUUUGGUUACGAAUCAGGGAGAAGACAAAGGGAAAAGAAUUCGCGCAGGCUGGAUUCAGAUUGCAGGACAGCACCAACUUGCGAUGGUCACCACGGUCGCGUACGGACUCGGAUUGGGGCGUUCAAGUACUUCAUGGAAUCCUUAUGAAGCCUAUUUUCAUAUGGUUCCGAACUCAAGUCUAUAUCUGUUAUGACUAAAUUACUACCAAGAGAUUUUCUGUUCAAAGGUGUUGUGUCGCCUUAUUUUGGUCCAAUGGGCCGUGUAUCAAGUCGGGUCCAUUAGGAAUGCGUCCUAAGGUUGGAGCACAACCCCAACACCCUGAUGGUCGUCCUCGCACCUUCAUUACCCCUUAGCCGCCACCAAGAAUAGUGGGGUUUUGUUUAGAUCAAGUUUAGCUCUCGCUACUUGCGUGUUGGAUCAGCCGCCCGUCUUCUUGUCUUCGGAACCCCACCAAUAUUGAGAUUGGAUUUGAAAUUUUCAUCUACAUCUAGUAAAUUCAAUACUUGUUAUGCUUGUUUUUGCUAGUUCUUCGAUUGCUUACAGGACGAGUGCCCUAGUGGCCGGGUGACACGCCCCACAAGAUCGCGGUAGCCACUGAAGGUGGUGUAUCAGUUACUAAGGCACAGCUUGGAAGGCUGUAGUCAGACCGUGAACGUCGUCUCCAUCCAACAAUCGAGUUAUCCCACGCCCUCUCAUCGAAAGAUCGGGAACCAACCGUAGCGGGUUCCUAUCAAAACCUAGUUACCAGUUCUGAUACAGGUCAAGUAGUUCUUUAGUGACUCGUGUUUUGAAUACCUAGUUACCAGUUCUGAUACAGGUCAAGUAGUUCUUUAGUGACUCGUG